GUUUGCACAAGCCCCUUGCCAUCUCCGUCCAGCCGAGUGUUUGUUGGAACUUUGAUUAUUUGUUGAAAUCCAAGUGGAUGCAGAGAGCUACAUGAUUACAGCGAACGGUGUGAGCAACAUAGCAUGAGGAGCUGGGCUUAAACACAUCAUCAUGGUCCGCUUAAAAUUUGCAAGAUCCAUUGAUGUUCCAGUCAUUUCCAAGUCCUAGAGGAGUAUAGAGUUUACUGUUAUAGGCCAAUAGUGGAGUCAGGUAUGAAGUGGUGUCCUACGCUCAAUUUUGUACAGCCAGGCAGAGCCAGGGAAUGUCUGCGCUUCUCCUGCCUCGUCGGAUCUCUCUCAAGCCACUCAGCAGGGCUUAGGUGGCCAGAAAAACCUAAAGGGGCAACUCGAGGAGAGAGAAGACAUACUCUUUUCUGAUUGGCUGGUGGGGUGGCUAUUAAUUCUUCUCUAUAAACAGGACACCUACUGUAUGAAGUAGAUCUGGUAAAAAAAAAAAUUCUAUAG